AUACUACUCCCUCCGUUUUAAAUUACUUGACCCAUAUUUAUCUAGAUACAGAUGUAUCUAGACACUAAACAAGUAUAAAUACAUCCGUAUUUAGACAAAUUUAAGUCAACUAAUUUGGAUCGGAGGGAGUAGUAU
rfam:Triticum aestivum genome assembly, contig: Triticum_aestivum_CS42_TGACv1_scaffold_624462_7DS